GCCCCCGUAUCCCAAUCGGCAGAGGAAACCGCCUUAAAAGCGGCUCAGUCUGGGUUCGAGUCCCAGCGGGGGCACCA
rnacentral:tRNA from 1 species